rnacentral:rRNA from 1 species
UGUUUNCCAGCGAGUCAUGUCGGGAACUCCAGGGAGACUGCCGGUGAUAAACCGGAGGAAGGUGGGGACGACGUCAAGUCAUCAUGGCCCUUACGAGUAGGGCUACACACGUGCUACAAUGGCGCAUACAGAGGGCAGCCAACUUGCGAAAGUGAGCGAAUCCCAAAAAGUGCGUCGUAGUCCGGAUUGGAGUCUGCAACUCGACUCCAUGAAGUCGGAAUCGCUAGUAAUCGUAGAUCAGAAUGCUACGGUGAAUACGUUCCCGGGCCUUGUACACACCGCCCGUCACACCAUGGGAGUGGGCUGCAAAAGAAGUGGGUAGUUAACCUCGGG